rnacentral:rRNA from 1 species
AUGCAUAUUCAUCUUUGGAACUUACCUAUCUGUUUCCUGUGCUUUUCAAUUACAGUGCCCAUGAUGGCACAGUGGACAUUGACUCUCGUGGAGGAUUUCGUGCAUUUGCAUACUAGGCCUCAGCAGGAAUGUUUGACUCAUGUGCAUUUGUUGCCAAGCUUUCAUUUUGCUGGCGUUGACGACAUUAAGAGCAACUGGAAAUUUUUCGAUAAGGAAAUAUUUCUCUUUAUAAAAGAUGAGUGUGAACUAGCAACAUUCCCUCCAGGAUCAGAUAUGCAACAAGCAGCAGUAGUAGCUAUUCAGGAAGAGGACCCUUUUAAUUGGGGGUAUGACUCUGUGCUUUGGAAGGUUCCAAAAGGAAGCUAUGCAAGUGAUUUCAUCAGGAAAGAGAUGCAGACGAGAGGAAGAGAGCCUCCCCCAAGCUCUGUCUAG